UUUUUUUUUUUUUUUUUUUUUUUUUUUUUUUUUUUUUUUUUUAAUCA
rnacentral:ribozyme from 1 species